AGAUUGAACGCUGGCGGAAUGCUUUACCCAUGCAAGUCGAGCGGCAGCGCGGGGCAACCUGGCGGCGAGCGGCGGACGGGUGAGUAAUGCAUCGGAACAUGUCCAUUCGUGGGGGGAUAGCCCGGCGAAAGCCGGAUUAAUACCGCAUACGCCCUAAGGGGGAAAGCCGGGGACCGCAAGGCCUGGCGCGAAUGGGUUGGCCGAUGCCCGAUUAGCUAGUUGGUGAGGUAAAGGCUCACCAAGGCGAUGAUCGGUAGCUGGUCUGAGAGGAUGAUCAGCCACACUGGGACUGAGACACGGCCCAGACUCCUACGGGAGGCAGCAGUGGGGAAUUUGGACAAUGGGGGCAACCCUGAUCCAGCCAUUCCGCGUGAGUGAAGAAGGCCUUCGGGUUGUAAAGCUACUUUUGUCCGGAACGAAACGGUUUGCGUCGAAUAAGCGACCGACUACGUGACGGUACCCGGAAGAAUAAGCAACCGGCUAACUACGUGCCAGCACGCCGCGGUAAUCGUGACGCGG
rnacentral:rRNA from 1 species